rnacentral:rRNA from 1 species
AUUGAACGCUGGCGGCAUGCCUAACACAUGCAAGUCGAGCGAGCGGCGGACGGGUGAGUAAUGUAUGGGGACUGCCCGAUAGAGGGGGAUAACUACUCGAAACGGUGGCUAAUACCGCAUACUAUCGGAUAACCUUUAUGGGAUUAGCUAGUUGGUGGGGUAAAGGCUCACCUAGGCGACGAUCUGUAGCUGGUCUGAGAGGAUGACCAGCCAAACUGGGACUGAGACACGGCCCAGACUCCUACGGAGGCAGCAGUGGGGAAUGUUGGACAAUGGGCGAAAGCCUGAUACAGCCAUGCCGCGUGUAUGAAGAAGGCCUGAGGGUUGUAAAGUACUUUCAGCAGAGAAGCGGUACCCGCAGAAGAAGCACCGGCUAACUCCGUGCCAGCAGCCGCGGUAAUAC